rnacentral:rRNA from 1 species
UACGUAGGGGGCUAGCGUUGUCCGGAUUUAUUGGGCGUAAAGAGCGUGUAGGCGGCCAGGUAGGUCUGCUGUGAAAACUCGAGGCUCAACCUCGAGACGUCGGCGGAAACCAUCUGGCUAGAGUCCGGAAGAGGUGGGUGGAAUUCCUAGUGUAGAGGUGAAAUUCGUAGAUAUUAGGAAGAACACCAGUGGCGAAGGCGGCUCACUGGCCCGGUACUGACGCUGAGGCGCGAAAGCGUGGGGAGCAAACAGG